UCUCGUAAUAGAGGUGCAAAACUUAAGAGUAUGCUGUCAUAGACGUGUGGCGUUGUGAUGGACAGUUGAAAGGAAGUUUUGCCGAAAUAAAAUGAAUCCACAAUUCAUUUUGUUGGGACUGCAUUUAAGAAAUGUAGUACUGUCGCAUAAUAAUUAUGCGGGGAGCUAUUGAAGAG
rnacentral:ncRNA from 2 species